rnacentral:rRNA from 1 species
AACGAACGCUGGCGGCAGGCUUAACACAUGCAAGUCGAGCGCCCCGCAAGGGGAGCGGCAGACGGGUGAGUAACGCGUGGGAAUCUACCCAUCACUACGGAACAACUCCGGGAAACUGGAGCUAAUACCGUAUACGUCCUUCGGGAGAAAGAUUUAUCGGUGAUGGAUGAGCCCGCGUUGGAUUAGCUAGUUGGUGGGGUAAUGGCCCACCAAGGCGACGAUCCAUAGCUGGUCUGAGAGGAUGAUCAGCCACACUGGGACUGAGACACGGCCCAGACUCCUACGGGAGGCAGCAGUGGGGAAUAUUGGACAAUGGGCGCAAGCCUGAUCCGGCCAUGCCGCGUGAGUGAUGAAGGCCCUAGGGUUGUAAAGCUCUUUCACCGGUGAAGAUAAUGACGGUAACCGGAGAAGAAGCCCCGGCUAACUUCGUGCCAGCAGCCGCCGUAAUAC